rnacentral:rRNA from 1 species
GACGAACGCUGGCGGCGUGCUUAACACAUGCAAGUCGAACGGAAAGGCCCUGCUUGCAGGGUACUCGAGUGGCGAACGGGUGAGUAACACGUGGGUGAUCUGCCCUGCACUUCGGGAUAAGCCUGGGAAACUGGGUCUAAUACCGGAUAGGAGCCAUUUUUAGUGUGAUGGUUGGAAAGUUUUUUCGGUGUAGGAUGAGCUCGCGGCCUAUCAGCUUGUUGGUGGGGUAAUGGCCUACCAAGGCGGCGACGGGUAGCCGGCCUGAGAGGGUGGUCGGCCACAUUGGGACUGAGAUACGGCCCAGACACCUACGGGAGGCAGCAGUGGGGAAUAUUGCACAAUGGGCGCAAGCCUGAUGCAGCGACGCCGCGUGGGGGAUGACGGCCUUCGGGUUGUAAACUCCUUUCGCUAGGGACGAAGCUUUUUGUGACGGUACCUAGAUAAGAAGCACCGGCUAACUACAUG